rnacentral:rRNA from 1 species
CUAACACAUGCAAGUCGAGCGGAGCGACAAUAACAAUUCUUCGGAGGCGUUAUUGGGCGGCGAGCGGCGGACGGGUGAGUAAUGCCUGGGAAUAUGCCUUAGUGUGGGGGAUAACUAUUGGAAGCGAUAGCUAAUACCGCAUAAUGUCUUCGGACCAAAGAGGGGGACCUUCGGGCCUCUCGCGCUAAGAUUAGCCCAGGUGGGAUUAGCUUGUUGGUGGGGUAAAGGCUCACCAAGGCAACGAUCCCUAGCUGGUCUGAGAGGAUGAUCAGCCACACUGGAACUGAGACACGGUCCAGACUCCUACGGGAGGCAGCAGUGGGGAAUAUUGCACAAUGGGGGAAACCCUGAUGCAGCCAUGCCGCGUGUAUGAAGAAGGCCUUCGGGUUGUAAAGUACUUUCAGUCGUGAGGAAGGGUGAGCAGUUAAUAGCUGUUUAUCUUGACGUUAGCGACAGAAGAAGCACCGGCUAACUCCGUGCCAGCAGCCGCGGUAAUACGGAGGGUGCGAGCGUUAAUCGGAAUUACUGGGCGUAAAGCGCAUGCAGGCGGUCUGUUAAGCAAGAUGUGAAAGCCCGGGGCUCAACCUCGGAACAGCGUUUUGAACUGGCAGACUAGAGUCUUGUAGAGAGG